UCCCUAUUACAAUUCAUUCGUUCAUCAUCAAUAAAGUAUUAAUUACAGACCAUUGAUCUCCCUAUAAUCUGUCUCAUAAGUAAUGCAUUUGGUAUUCAUUGAACGGUUAAGAAUACAAUUCAUCUCUUUCCUAUAACUCACUCUUUUUAAAUAUAUCUCCUUCAAUUCCAUCAGUUUUAUGCUGCAGAUUCACUCCGGCCAGCAACCAUUCUUCCGGCGAGCCAUGAUGUUUGUAAAGUUGUAUGGAAUUAAAGAUAUCAGACACUUUUUGUUAUGAUUUUGAUGACAGUAAUGUUACUCUUUUGGCGAUGUGUUUAGCCAGAUUACGAUCAAGGUUCGAGACCUCAGGUGACAACAUGGAUCUUAACACACACACUAAAAAAAAUUUAUUUUCGAGGGCUGAUAUAUUUUGCUGUUUAUAGAAAAUUGUGACAUAAAUUGUUAGUCAAGAUUUAGAUUAGUGUGAAUUACAAAUGUUGAUACAAAGGGCAACCAAAGAUGGACCCUAUCCAGUUGAUGUCUCUUGCCAGUAGAUUGGCGGUGUGACUAUUCUUUGUAAUGGGCAAUCUGAUUACAUUAGUGAUGACAAAGAAGUUAAAUCAGUUAGCAUAUAUGGUUCCCUUGACGCUGCAGUGGACAAUGUGAUACACUCUUUGCAAGUGUCACAAGAGAGUAUAUCGAUUAAUACAAGAGGGUACUAAUACUGGUGCUUGAUUAAUCUGGAUGGAAGACAUAUCCAUGAGGUAUAAAGAUUCUAAACAUCGAGCCUUAUGAUUAAGAUGAAUGACUUAGUCACUUGAGAUAUGUACAGAUGGCUGCCACUACAUACAAUACAUUUCUCCUUGCUUCAGAAAGAUAUAGAAUUGGUAGAGCACACGUUUCUUUAGUUUGAAAUUCAUUCUUGAAGGCAUAAUAGUCAAAUAAAUGUACCAAUAGGAAAACAAAUAUGUGAUCGGUAUUUACAUGCAUGGGAACAGUUGUUUGACUAUUUGGGAGAAGCAUUUGGUUGAAACAGCAGACUACCAUUUGACGUAUGAAUGUCUUUUUUCGCUGUUUAAGUCGUGUGCACCUUUAUCUCAAAUGGUUGAAAAAGGUCUUGAAAUGAGCCGAAGAUCAUACACAAUCGAGUCGGUAGAAUUGGCGUUGUAUGCAUGCUUUUUUUUUUCUUCUUGUUUUCUUCUUUUAAUAUAUAUAGUUAAUCAAUGAAGACUUUUUUGAAUACAAGUUGGUUAUUUCGUAUGUAAUAUAACUCCAGUUUCUUUUUAGGCAACCUACAUUCAAAGUCGUUA